GGAAAAAAAAAGCCGUUCAUUAAACCAGAGUGUUUCACUUUAUGAGCCGCACACUUUCCAAAUAAAACGGAGCCGCGUGCAGCUGUGAGCGCUCGGUGCGUCACACGUCUCCGCUGCUGGCAGACUCACACACACGCACACACACACGCACACACACGCCUGGGAGGAGGAAGAAGGGGACGAUGUCCGGGAUCAUGCUGCUGCCGCUGUCUUUGACUUUGUGCUUGUUGUGGACGAACGGCCACGGCGCGCGGAGCGGCCCAGAGAUCAAACGCGCCGCCCUGGAGCGCGACCCGCUCAGUCUGAACGACAUGUUCCGAGAGGUGGAGGAGCUGAUGGAGGAUACGCAGCACAUACUGGAAGAAGCAGUGGACCAGAUAAAUACUGAGAGCGCUAAAUCUUUGACCUCGCUGAAUCUGCGUCCUAAUGACUACCUGGAGACUAAGAGGACGGUGAGGAUUGGAGACAGAACUGUUCAGGUCCUCGAUGUGACUGACAAGAGCGCAAACAACAAAUCAGGAGAAACGCACCUUCUACAAACCCGUAUGGAGAUCUCUGGUCACUGGAACAGUGUGGCUCAAGAAUGCAUGGUGGACGAAGACUGUGGCGAUCACAAAUACUGCCUGUAUGAGAUUGAAACCUCUAAAUGCCUGCCCUGCAUUCCAACGGAUAUGCCCUGCACUAAGGAUGAGGAGUGCUGCUCGGAUCAGAUGUGUGUGUGGGGCCAGUGUACCAUCAAUGCCACCAAAGGAACAGAGGGAACUAUCUGUCAGGGCCAGAGUGACUGCAGGCCAGACCUUUGCUGUGCAUUUCAACGAGGUCCAAGAUUAACUGAUGGUAACAGAAGCUGUUGUUUCCGGUGUGUAACCCUAAGCCAGAGAAAGGCGAGCGCUGUCUGAGUCACCCUAACCUGCUGAUGGACAUGCUGGCCUGGGACCAGGAGGGCCCCCGAGACCAUUGCCCCUGUGCUGAUGACCUCCAGUGCCAACCUCAUGGGCGUGGCUCUAUUUGUGAAAACUAGUACUUAACGAGGAGAAAACAAAGAAGUUCUAUUAAAAAUCUGCAUCUCUGUCCAAAAGCCAUCCAGGGGGGUAUUGCACAAAAAUAGAAACAAGACAUUACAGGAUCAGUGAAACAUCCUGGCUUGACUUAUUUUACUGACCUCAUCCUGGCUUAUUCUGUUGUACAGUACAGUUUGCCAAGCCAGGAUAAGAAGCAGCUUCGUCAAGCCUGGUGUACUUAGCACUUUCACUGUGCUACUUACAAACCAUGUGUGGAUCACAGAAUUACAGAUUAAACAUGAACAAGUCUUGCACUGUUUACCCAUAGAACUUUUUUGGCGACGUACGAAGAUGUCAACCAUAACAUGGAAAAGGUAAAUAUGUCCAUUGCUUGGUGACGUAACUGUGUAAAAAUGUACAGAUGACGUAAAAGGAAAAUGUGCGUAACAUGUUGUCUGUAUACGAGCACUUAAGCAAUUUUUAUCAAACCAAAAUAAUGGCAGCAAUCUUAAUCUAAGAUUGUUAAGAAUUGUAACUGAUAUUAAUUUAAAAAUGACAUGUUUACUGUGAAUUACUUUAAAGCAAUUUGAUUAAAACAAGGCAACAUACAGAAAACGUUAAGUUCUAAAAGAACCUGCAGCUAAAUUACGAUAAAUCAGUAGAAUCUCUUCUCCUGGAUGUUAGUUACUCUGCACCAGGCUAAAUCAGAGCAUAAAUCUGUGCAGUAAUUUAAUUCAGCUUCAUUCAGUCAACUUCUGUGCAACUGCGUCUGGGCUAAUGACAACAUAGGCAACACAGGAUAAAUGUCCAUGGAGAACAGACUGAUCCUUCUUUUGUCCAACCAAGUUAAGGGUGUUUUGUUCUGGAAACACCUGCUUAAUUUCUCAUCUUUGUUUUGUGCGAUACCCCGGUCUUCAGUGCCCAAUGCACUAGUCACCUAGUAACGUUUUAUUAAAGUGUAUGACGUUGCUUCAGGCAGGACGUUUGCCAUGUUUGUGCCUUACCACCACUGUGCAUUAUAUAUCAUUUUGAAAAUAAAGUACUUUAUUUUUAGUUUUGAGUGAAAAAUCAAAAGUAUGUGUGAUCCUAAUUGAGUGGACAAGCCCACAGAAAAACGUAUCACUUACCACUAGAUGGCAAUGGUACCUGUUUUGUGUCUGACAGGAGGACUUCCACCUGAUCAUGGUGCAGACUGAAACAAAUCAGUCUCACAUACACACUUAUAGUACAACUGUAGAAAAGAAAUGGGUUUCCUAGUUGCAGAUUUUCAUCUUUAGUGUUCUUUAAGAGACAUCAAGAGGCCUUUAAUGCAUUUUGAUCCUAAUAAUUUUCUUCAGCUAAAGUUUUGUAUUGAUUAUAUCUUUUUAGAAACAAAUAUUUUGAAUAGAUGUUUGUUUCCUGUAUGUAAAGCCCUUAUGCGACCAUAAAUAAUAUCUUAAAUAAAAUUUCCAGGGAGAAAAAUUAAACAUGGUGCACAUACUCUGGCAGAUGUGCACCUGUGGCAUGUACUAUGGGGGAACAUUUUUGUUUUUGUUUUUGCUUGCUUCUCUCUGUAAACAACUUGGCAUCAAAUUCUUAUUUGUCCCAUACACAGUACGAUAUGCAGUGAAAUGCUUACGCAACUGUCCAACUAUAAAGACAGAUCAUUGUCUAAAUGAUUUGUUUCUACCAAAUGACUCAUCUAUCAAAGUAAAAAUUUACAUGGAGCAAAUUUUUAAUUUGUGAAAAGAACAAUGCUUUCAUAUGUGUUUGGACUAGGUGCUGUUUUAUCACCUAAAGUUAAACCAGUCACCUAAAGGAAUCAGCUUAACACAGGGAAAACUGUAAAACUCAUUGUCAAAGGUCGUGGAAUAAAAUCAUUUGACUAAAGUCAAUUUUGAACUUUCA